rnacentral:rRNA from 1 species
AUUGAACGCUGGCGGAAUGCUUUACACAUGCAAGUCGAGCGGCAGCGCGGGGCAACCUGGCGGCGAGCGGCGAACGGGUGAGUAAUACAUCGGAACGUGCCCAGACGUGGGGGAUAACUACUCGAAAGAGUGGCUAAUACCGCAUAUGAUCUAAGGAUGAAAGCGGGGGAUCGCAAGACCUCGCGCGUUUGGAGCGGCCGAUGGCAGAUUAGGUAGUUGGUGGGGUAAAGGCUUACCAAGCCUGCGAUCUGUAGCUGGUCUGAGAGGACGACCAGCCACACUGGGACUGAGACACGGCCCAGACUCCUACGGGAGGCAGCAGUGGGGAAUUUUGGACAAUGGGCGAAAGCCUGAUCCAGCCAUUCCGCGUGCAGGAUGAAGGCCCUCGGGUUGUAAACUGCUUUUGUACAGAACGAAAAAGCUCUGGUUAAUACCUGGAGUCCAUGACGGUACUGUAAGAAUAAGCACCGGCUAACUACGUGCCAGCAGCCGCAGUAAAAC